AAAGGGAGGCAUAUCUGAGCUCCUGGGACAUCUUUGGAUCAUCUUACAAGCAGCCCUCUGAAGCAGGAGUGGACAGGAGGUUUUCAAUACCCUUAGGUGGACUAAGGGAGCUCCAGCCAUUCUCUGGACCAUCUAGGACUCCUCAUCUGUACUCCAGCCUUUCGUUGCCAGAAGACUCUAUAUUUAAGGAAACUGAGGACCAUGGAAGUAAGGAGAUAUACACAAGGUUACUUAUGCUACCGAGCCAGCAGAAGGAGAGAGGGAAGAUGAAGCAUACAAAAUUAAAAGACUUAAAUUCUUUAACACAUUCACACACAUAGCAUUUCAUUUUUUCCUCCCUAAAUUGCCAGUCUUUAUAUAAUUAUAUUUUAAUCACCUACUUAAUGAUUCUUUUUUCACACCUCAAAUUUCAAAGUUACAGCUAUUCAAAAUAGCUCUGGACAUACCUAUUCCCAGCUUGUCUUUUGCCUAGUUUCUUUGACCUCAAAUUAUUCCAUGUUUUCUCCCCCUACCCCCUGCCCACUCUGCUCCCUGGCCCCCAGCAAGGAUAAUUUUUAGAGCUGCUUCCAUGUUCUAUCCUUGAUGACAAUUCUCUUCAUUAUGGCCUUCUUGUUUGUAACCCUCACUAUUAUUCUUGCCCCACAAUACACAAUACAUCAGGGCACUAGUAGAUGAUCAAUAAACUUUACUAUCUCUUCUUCCUUUUUUAUAGUCUGAGAAUCAGAUUCACAGAAUGAGGGAACUUAGAGAUAACCUUCACUUUACUUUGGAGAGUUUAAUUGGAAAGCCCCCUGGCUCUGGAAUUUGAGGACUUGGGUUCAAUCCCUAUCUUUGUUACUUAGCAUUUUUGUGACCUUGGGUAAGUCAUUCUCCCGUUAUGAGUCAUUUUCCUUUGUAAAAUUAGAAGACUGGAUUAUAUGGUCUCUAAUUCUCCCAGCCCUGAAUCUAUUCUCCUAUGAUUUGGUUCAGCAUUUUAGGGAACUUUCUUAGUUAUUGUUGUUCAAUUGUUUUCAGUCAUGUCUGAUCUUAUGUAACUCCAUGGGUGUUUUCUUGGCCAAGAUACUGGAAUGGUUUGCCAUUUCCUUCUCCAGUUUAUUUUAUAUAUGAGUAAGCUGAGGCAAACAAGAUUAAGUGACUUGCCCAGGAUCACCCAGCUGCUAAGUGUCUAGGGCCAAAUUUGAACCCAGCUCUUCUCAACUCCAGGUCCAGCACUCUAUCCAGUGCACCACCCAGCUGCCAUUAUAUUUCUUAGUAUCACCUUCUAUAUCCUUCACAUGUCACUUUGUUCUAAUGCUCAAGAACUCAGGAUAUGGUCUUUUCAAAGAAAAUUUUGGUAUUCAUCUCCUUCUGCAAUUCCCCACUUUUAAAUCUCUCUUUUAUUCCCAUCCUUUCUAUCUCUUCUAACAAAAAUUGCCCCCAACUAAGAGAACUAUAGGACUUGUUCACUCACCACUCCGUUCUUCAUUGGGAAGGCAAUUUUCAACUGCUUCUUAGUCACAGUGAUAAGAUAACUCUCCAUUUCAUCCCAUUAAGCACUAACAAUUAAUAUCAGUGAUAGCACCAUUUAGACACUGGUAAUGAAAUAGAUUCCCAUCGCCUCAGAGUUGGAAGGACCCCAGGGACCAUCUAGUCCGAUGAAGAAUACCCUUUUAAAAAUAUCGCAGACAAGUGGAUAUCCAGCCUCUGUUUGGAAACCUCAAGUUAAGGCAUGCCCCCCUCUCUCCUGAGACAGCUCUUUCUAUUUGUGGAGAACUCCGACACUUAGGAAAUCCUUCGAGCUAUCAAGCUUCAGUUUAACUCUGAAAGCUCUACCCAUUGCUCCUAAGUUUUACUCUCAAGGACCAGGGAGGAGAAAUCGAAUCCAUCUUCCACCAAACAGCCUGUCAAAUGCUGAGAGACUAGGAUCAUAUCCUCCCCUCCUCCUGAGUCCCUUUCUUCUCCAGUUCUCCCAGGCUUGGUCACGUUUUUCUGGGUGUGCUCCAGCUUGGUGGUCUCUUUCCUAAAAGGUAGGGUCCUGAGAUGAACAUGGCACUCCAGGUGUCUGACCAGGGUAGAAGUCAAGCUUUUAGAGACAUCUUUCUCUUCUCUCUAGAUUUCUCAAAGUAGCCUAGUUUCUAAGCUACUGUUUUAUUGGCUAAUCGUGAGUUUACAGACCAUGAAAAGACCCAUGCCAUUUUUUUUUCACCCUUACCUUCUAAGUAUCAGUUCUAAGACAGAAGAAUGGCAAAGGCUAGGCAAUUGGGGUUAAAUGACUUGCUCAGGAUCACCCAGCUAGGAAGUGUCUGAGGCCAGUUUUGAACCCAGGACUUCCCAACUCCAGUCUUAGUACUCUAUCACUGUGCUACCUAGCUGCCCUUAUACCACCCUGCUCUUUCUUAAAAGAACUACUGUCUAACCAUUCAUUAGAGUAUAAACUUCUUGAAAGCAAAGAUUACUUUUUGCUUUUUCUUUAAAAUUCCCAGGGGUUGGCCCAGGAAUGACACACAGUAGGUAUUUAAUAAAUGUUAAAUAACUGAGUAACCCAGGUUGCCCAUCUUAGACUCCUGAAGUUGAUUUUUGCACCACAAUGUUAGAUUUCAAAUAUAUCCCUAUUGUUUCAUGAUAUCAGAUUUUUUUAAUGCUCAGAUCUAUCAAUAUCCCUUUGAAUCCUGACAAUGAUAUCUGAUCAAUAGAUCUAUAUUUAUUAAGCACUUACUGUAUGCCAGGUACUGUAUUAAGAAAAAGUUCUUAACCUCAAGAGCUCAUAUUCUAUUGAAGGCAAAAAAACCCUACACACAUAUGCAUAAACAUAGAACA